GUUUGGCGAGGGUUUUGUUUAGGGAAAUUUCUCUUUUCAUGGUUGUGGGAACAAGUCUCCGAUAAAGAAGUUUGUUGAUCUUGGUGAUUGGCUUGAGUUUGCAAGUUGGAAGAGGAAGCAUGUAGAUAUAAUAUGUUGUGGAAAUAAUCAUGUAGGUCUUCAUGGUUCUAAAGUUGUCUAACUUGAUAAUAUUGGUUUGAUAGGUAGCUUCCUUAGGUGUUGUGAGUAAGUUCAUGAGUUUUGUGAGCAAAGGUCUUUUAUGGGGUAAAGAUAG
rnacentral:lncRNA from 1 species